CCAAUAGCGUAUAUUAAAGUUGUUGCAGUUAAAAAGCUCGUAGUUGAAUUUCGGGAUCAAUAUAUCGGUCGUGCCUUGGUACGUACUGGUAUCAUUGGUUUCUCCUUUCUGACGAACCAUGAUGUCAUUAAUUUGGUGUUACGGGAAGUUAGGACUGUUACUUUGAAAAAAUUAGAGUGUUUAAAGCAGGCUUUAGCUUGAAUACAUUAGCAUGGAAUAAUGAAAUAGGACGUUCGAACCUAUUUUGUUGGUUUCUAGGAUCAACGUAAUGAUUAAUAGGGAUAGUUGGGGGCAUUAGUAUUCAAUUGUCAGAGGUGAAAUUCUUGGAUUUAUUGAAGACUAACUACUGCGAAAGCAUUUGCCAAGGAUGUUUUCAUUAAUCAAGAACGAAAGUUAGGGGAUCGAAGACGAUCAGAUACCGUCGUAGUCUUAACCAUAAACUAUGCCGACUAGGGAUCGGAUGAUGUUAAUUUUUUAAUGACUCAUUCGGCGCCUUACG
rnacentral:rRNA from 1 species